UACGUAGGUGGCAAGCGUUAUCCGGAAUUAUUGGGCGUAAAGCGCGCGCAGGUGGUUUCUUAAGUCUGAUGUGAAAGCCCACGGCUCAACCGUGGAGGGUCAUUGGAAACUGGGAGACUUGAGUGCAGAAGAGGAAAGUGGAAUUCCAUGUGUAGCGGUGAAAUGCGUAGAGAUAUGGAGGAACACCAGUGGCGAAGGCGGCAUCCUGGACCAAUUCUGACGCUGAGGAGCGAAAGCCAGGGGAGCAAACAGG
rnacentral:rRNA from 1 species